rnacentral:lncRNA from 1 species
GUCAGUGCCAUGGCGACCUUAUUCCCCUUUGCCUUCUUUCUACCUCUGUUCUUCCUCCUUUCUCUUAACGAUUUCCAGGUCUCACUUUUCCCAUCACUUAAAAAAAAAAAUGUUUCUUAGUCCCAUGAAUUGUUACAUUCAUUUCUGUGUGUAUGCUUGCAGGAGUGAGCCUUUCCUUCUACCAUGUGGGUCCUGGGUUCAAGUUCCGGUCCUCAGGCUUGGUUGGUGGCAGGCACCUUGACCUGCUGAGCUGUGUGGCUGGCCCGCCCAUGAAUUACUGUUCAGAUUUUUCUGUCUGAUUAUUUCUCAAAUCCUGAUUCGUCUCUGAACUUGAGUCUUUCUGGUGCUUUAUGUAAAACACUGUGCCUGGCAAUGGAGCUUAGAUGAGCUCUUCCCUAGCCCUGGCUGGCUUACGGUGCUCUGUCCCUGCUAAUGGAGCAAGCCUAACUCUUUCCCCAGGCCUUCCCAUCCAGUCUGUAGGCAACAGCUAUACAUGCUGCUUUCUUUCCUGAUACCCUGACUUUCUUUGUAUUCCUGCCAACUCUGAUACAAGUCUUAGUUUGUGUUAGUACAGGGAAUUAUAAUUGUCACAGAAUCAUAGAGUAGCUUUCCUUCUUGCUCUCUUUUCAGGAGCAGUUUGAACUGGGAUUGUUGUCCUUGAAUGGCUGGCAUAUACAUACAUACAUAGAUACAUACAUACAUAUAUACAUACACAUAUAUGUGUGUAUACAUAUAUGUGUGUGUGUGUAUCUGUGUAUGUAUGUAUGUAUAUGUGUGUGUGUGUGUGUGUGUGUGUGGAGGAAGGGGGUUUGUGGAAAAAAAUAGUGUAUAUAUUUUUUUUCUUGAUUGAUUGUGUGCCUUUGUGGGCACAUGUGUGGAGGUUACAGGAGAUUUCAUAGGAAUCAGUUCUCUCUACCACGUGGGGUCUGGGUAUUGAACGCCACUGGGCAGGCUUGGUGGCUCGCACCUUUAUCCCCGGGCCACCUCACUAGCCCCAAGUAGUGUUUUGUUUUUGUUUUUUGUUUCUUGUUUUUGUUUUUUAUCUUAGGAGUUUAAAACAGCCCUUAAACAACCACAUAGAGGUUUCUGGGCCCGGGCUGCAGUCAGUGGUAGAGUGCACACUUGUAUAGAUAUGAAGCCCUUGGGUUCAGUCUUCAAUACCAAAGAUCAUAGGGAGAAAAAAAAAAGGAGGCUCUUUUGGGAAAUUUUUCUGUAUGGAUCUGGAAUUCAUAGAGAUUUGGGCUGGAGGAAGACAAUCUGGAGUGAUUAUCAUAUAGAUUGUGUAUUUUGACAGCAAGAUUGAUUGGGUAGUUCUCAAAAGUGACUUUCUUGCAGUUUGACAAGCCCAAUGUACAUUAAGGGAAGAAAAGCCCUAUCCCCACCAUAUUAAAAAGAAACCUAGAAAUGAGUGUGACUGAAUCUAGUGGUGUAAUUGGAUUCUGUCAUUUUGGUGGGUUUUUUUGUUUGCUUGUUUGUUUUGUUUUUUUGUCAGUACAUUUUCUGGCAGAAGAGGGUCACUGGUAACUAACUAUGAGCUUACCUGGGCCUGCCUACUUUCAGGAGAAAGGAAACCUUUUCUAGUUGCAUAAAUCUGUUUCCUACAGAGAUGAUUAUGCGUGGAGUGUCUGGGCCUUCCUUAUCCACUUCCUUACCCACUUCUCUCUCAAGAUCUUUUCAGCACCACCUGUAGUGGUCCUUCUAGAACCACGUGGGUUGGGCCAAUGGUAGUUUUCCUAAAGAUAGCUCUGGAGAGAGAAGGCAAAAUCCAUUUGGUUCUUAGCCUUCUAAGGGUAAUUCUUUUAGAAUCUGAAGAAAUACAAAAUAAUUUUGGAGCAAUCUCAUGGUUAUACUAUGGACUUCUUCCCAGGUUCUACUGAUAUAUUUAGCAAAGAUCACAAGCAAUAGCAGCUUAAGGCCUGAGUAAAGAGGUUGACAGCAAGCAGUUGUCUAACUGUAGUUAGUUAAGAUCUACAUAGGGGACGUUGCAGGGAUCUUACAUUAGUAGAUAACAAGGAAACCUGGCUUGUCUACCACACAUCUGUUCUAGAAUGUGAUUUGUAGAGUAAGGAUGUUUGUGAUGUGUUCAGCAGUUUAAAACAUUUUUUUUACAAUUAUGAGAGCAAUAUAUCUAGUAUGGAUAAUUUGAGAACUAUAAAAAAUUAUCCAAAAAGCAGUAAGACUUUGAGUUUCCCAUUUGGUGAAAAUGUCUGGCACUGUUUGUUUCUAUUGCAGUGUAGCGCUGCAGUCUUGGAUAUCACAAGAACCUGUUGGAAUCUGUUGGUUUCUUGUCUCAAAAGUCAAAGAGAACAUGUGAACUCUCAGGUCAUUUUCCCAUUGCAGAGAAAGAAAGGAAAGGAAGAGGGCUCAUCUUGAUGUAAACCUGAGUUCUAGGAAGGGAUCCACAUGCCGGAGGGACAGAACCUACCCCUACGAGUUGUCCUUUUACCCCCAUGAGUGUAGUGCACUGCUGCUCAAUGUAGUAAAAACAAAACAAGAC